ensembl:lncRNA
GUAAGUAAAACUUGUCUUUGGGCAGUCAUGAUGGUGCGUCGGUAUUACUCCAAAGGUCUCCAUUACAUUCUCUUGAACCACGGUAAAGAUAUUUUUAAAAAGCAACUAAUAAUACUUCAAUAGGUAGACAUUGUUUAAGUAUAAUAGAACUCAUAUGAUUGACAUAUUUCUGGUAUCAGUCAGUGUUUAAUCAGACAAACAGAAUCCACUUGAGGAAUUUCAAGCAGAGUUAAUUUAAUACAGCUACAGAAUACUAGAAGGCUGGAGGCACUCCUAGGGAAGGUUACCUGGAGAGUAGUAGCUAUACAAAAACUCUACCACCCGUAGGCCUGGGGCCCAAAGGAAAAAAAUGAUGUUUCCUUGGGAUCCCAGUGAAGCUGAGGCUGCUGAUGUUGAAAGCGGUGGCCGAGUAAUACAUUGCCCCGAAACUGAUAAGCCAGGAGGCUAAAGAAGUAUGGAGGCAGUCCGUCAGGAAUCUUGCAAAGAAGGCAGCUCUCAGUAGACAGUACUGGAGAUUUUUAUGAACCAUUUUUAGUUCUGUGAAUUGAAGAGACCUCGCCCCUUUUCUACCUCUUUCUGCUGACAGCUGCUCCUGAACACCUCCCUCCCAGCCGGGAGGGCAGCCGGAUGGCUGCCUGUGCAGCUAACGCCAGGAUGGCUCCUGAGCGAGCAUCCAGGGUAUCAGUUUCCUCCUGGAGACUCACGUGUCACCUUCACGUCUCGUGUAUCUUCCAUCAUUUACGUGAAUAUAUCAAGGGCUCUGGUAGAGGCACCAGGCUAUGAAAGCGCAGUCUAACCGGUGGCUGGGAACAAAGGCCGCCUUCAGCUACAAAUGAUUCACUAUGGUGUUGAGACUUUUUUCCCUCCACGAUGACUUUGAAUCCUAAAGAUUAAAUGAGUGUGCUUCCAUUCGCAGAAAAUAAAAGUGAAGGGAUAGCCUAGGAAAAGAAUUACUCUAAAAAAAAUACUGAUUUUAAGAACCAAUUUAGAAAAUUACAAAGGUUUCACAAGGAUGUAGGGUGUACUUGUAAUGGCAGGAGGAAGAUUUAUACCCAACUCUUCUCACAGAUGCUACUGUAACUUAUCAUCCUCAGAUUACUUAGUUUCCAUCAGAAGAUAUCACUAUCUGAUCAGUCUCAUCAUUUCAUAUUGGGUGGCAGUAUGGACAAAGUUAGAGUGAAUUAUUUGAAAGGUCAUGUGACUAUAUCUAACAGAUAUUUAAAAAUAUUUUGUGUGGUUCAUUAGCCAGUUUAAUACAGUGGGUUAACAAAGAAGUUCUAUAGUUCAUCUCUGGAAAAUUGAAACAUGGCUCUUACUUUUCAACCAUUAUUAAAUUAAAAAUAUCAAAAUAUUUUUAAGAAGAUGCAUGUUUCCAGCACAUUCUAUGUCCUUGGGAAGCAAAUAAUAAUGAACAGGAUUAGGAAAUAAUUUCAGAGAAGACAAUGGAACCCCACUCCAGUACUCUUGUCUGGAAAAUCCCAUGGAUGGAGGAGCCUGGUGGGCUGCAGUCCAUGGGGUCACUACGAGUCAGACACGACUGAGCGACUUCACUUUCACUUUUCACUUUGAUGCAUUGGAGGAGGAAAUGGCAACCCACUUCAGUGUUCUUGCCUGGAGAAUCCCAGGGACUGGGGAGCCUACGCUGCCGUCUAUGGGGUCACACAGAGUUGGACACGACUGAAGUGACUUAGCAGCAGGAAAUAAUUUAUACUGAAGUAUAUAACCCUGAGAUGGCGGUGGAUCAGCCCCACCUCUUUUGACCUUGGCCCCUUUAGAGGACAGCCUGGUUUCAACCAAAGUAACCUUGAACUUGGGGAGAGGCUGCAGCCCAGAGACACAGAAUAGGUGUCGUUGGUGCUAAUUCACUGUGCUUAUGCACUGGCGAGCUACAGUCCAUGGGGUCACAAAGAGUCAGACAUGACUGAGCAACUAACACUUUCACUUUAUGCACAGUUUAUUAAGGAAACUUUCAGAUUAUGGAAAUAUUUGACAGUUUCUUCUAGAUAUUCUGUGGCUUCCGUGGUGGCUCAGACGGUAAAGCGUCUGCCUGCAAUGCGGGAGACCUGGUUCGAUUCCUGGGUUGGGAAGAUCCCCUGGAGAAGGAAAUGGCAAUCCACUCCAGCACUCUUGCCUGGAAAAUCCCAUGGACGGAGGAGCUUGAUAAGCUACAGUCCAUGGGGUUGCAAAGAGUCGGACACAACUGAGCAACUUCACUUUACUUCACUUCUAGAUAUUACGAUUCUUCUUCAAAUAGGAUUCUUUUUCAUAUAUUUAAUAUGGUAUUUAAAAGUUGUCAGUAGAGAAAACAUGCUAAAGUCUGAAUACAAGAAAAUAGUUCACAGUAAAGAACAAUUAUAUACUGAGUAUAAUUUGAAAAAUAUUUGAAUAUUAAACUUGUCUUCAUUAAUAUCAGUUACAGGUCCCAAGGAAUAUGUCAUGAUCUCUUCAUUAUUCUACUUUAAACUCACAAUAUUAUCUCCAGGGGAAUUUUAAAAACAUUUUAUCAGGAAGCUUGCUUCUAAGUUGUUUGGUCAGGUCUGUCUUUCGUAAAGUUAACAGUUUCUAAAUAUUUCCAGAUUUGGCUGUCUGAUACCAGAACAAUUACAAAAUAUUUUCGGUAAUACUAUGUCAACAAGGUCUUUGGUAUUAUUAAAACAGGCAUCUAUUAACUGCUUUAAAAUGCUGAAGAUACUAAAAAUAGUUCAAAUUAACUCAAUUAAAACUAAGGACCUAUUCAUACAGUACUAUUUUAUACAUAAUAUUUAUUGAAGACUUACUAUGUUCCAAGCACCUUUCUUUCAGGGCCAUUCAUGUAUUAUUUCAUUUAAUCCUCAAAAUAAUCCAGGGUAAAAAUUAUAAUUUUAUGUCCAUUUUAUAGACAAGGAAACUGAGGCAUAGGCAGGGUAUGUAACUUGUUUCAAGGCACGUAGUUGAUAAGUAGAAGAUGUGGUAUAAAAUCCCAGGUAGCUUGAUGCUGUGCUCUUUGCCCUUGUACUUUAUUAUAUUGCCUCAUAUUAGUUAAUGUUCAUUCAAAAACUGUAUUAAGAUAUGAGACUGCAACCAGUGUAAGAUUCCUUGACAGGAAAAGCAAAGAUGUUUCUGUAAAUCAAUGUUCAUAGCAUCAUCCUCUGUCCCCCAUCACUCACCUUGGCGCUUGGUAGCAGAGUGAGGAAUACACCGUGUCUCCAUGAGCAGAGCUUCAUGGCACCCAGUUCGCAUGUGGGAUCGCUAAAUUCCAAGGCACAGAAGUAACAAUUCCAUAGAAAAUAGGCACCUUUAUAAUUUCUUACAUAUUAGUGAAAUUUCUACAUUUUCAAGAGCAGAUGAUACAUUUAAUUAAAAUAUUGACCUUGAUAUCAAGGAUAGUAUUACAUGCUGAAAUUACAUAUUAAAAUAGAUUGUGGGGGGCUUUUUUUGGGAGGGAAUAUUUAUUGCAACUUCACUUUUUGAUUAAAAUAGAAAAGAAAUCCUCCGAAAAUUACUUUGAUAAAACGGACUUCAAGUUAAAAUCCACAUGAAUCAUGUUGGGUUUUUCAGGAAGAAUCUUGUUUUGGCCUAAAUGAUACCCGAGAUCAACUUAGACCUUCCUACAUUUUUAACGUGAUGGAAGUGCAGUGGUCUCUCAGCUGGUGUCAGAGAGGAAGUACUUUCAGGAAGACUUUGUCUACCAGAGUUAGACCCAGGGAGCAUGGUAGCCUGAAGUCUCCUUGUCUCCUCGGUCUGCUCUUGGUUCUUUAUCACCAGAAAGGCUAGAAAGCAGAAAAAGUGAAAGUUUCUUCUGAACAGAUUCUUUUCAUUACAGACUUCAGAAAUGUCGGAAAGCUAGCAUAGGGCAAUUCGUAUCCCGAAUUCUUUUUUGCUGUAAUAACACGCAGCAACUAAAAUCUUAACAUUUUUGUCAGAUGUGAAAAAACAUACAAUCUUAUUGUUUCUCACAUUUGGUGUUUUUCGGGGGUGGAGGAAUCAAUUAUUUUGUCUUUAGAAGCUGUAAAAUAAAAUUCCAAUAAAAUCCAUGUUACACAUCUAUGCAAACCAAUAAAAAGAGAAUAUUUGCAUGUGUCCUAUUAAUCAAAACCAGUUUCCCGCAAUUCUAAAGACAUAUUCUUCAAGGAGUUUUGCUUAAUCUUCCCUAUCCAAGUUAAAUGGUCAUACUUGGGAAUAUAUGUUUUGUACAUAUAUGCACACAUACAACAGAAAAUAGUUGGGUUUUAACUAUCAGAUAUUUUAGAGGUCAGCAA